rnacentral:rRNA from 1 species
UACGAAGGGUGCAAGCGUUAAUCGGAAUUACUGGGCGUAAAGGGUGCGUAGGCGGUUCGUUAAGUCUGUCGUGAAAUCCCCGGGCUCAACCUGGGAAUGGCGAUGGAUACUGGCGAGCUAGUGUGUGUCAGAGGAUGGUGGAAUUCCCGGUGUAGCGGUGAAAUGCGUAGAGAUCGGGAGGAACAUCAGUGGCGAAGGCGGCCAUCUGGGACAACACUGACGCUGAAGCACGAAAGCGUGGGGAGCAAACAGG